ensembl:lncRNA
CUUCUGCCUGGCCGGCCUCCUGAACUGUUUUCUGGGCUCUUGGGCCGUCAGCCUCCGGGCCGGCCCCCUGAACUUUUUGUGAACUGUUUUUCCUGGCUGCCUGCGCCUGUCAUGAGCCUGUUUUUUGUUCUGUUGCUUUCCGGGCUCCAGUGUUUGCACUUUUUUUUGUUUCUGGCUCAAUGUGUUUCAUUUGUUUCGAGCCCUCCAUCCUGUUUCCCCCGCCGCCCACCCUGGUUGGGUUGUUUGGAAGCCAGCCCUUAAGGGGGGGGGUACUGUUAGGAUGCCUGGGUCGUCGACCCAGGGUUUUUGAGUUUUUGAUAUUAUUUAUACUUCCUAGUUUUUGGUUUCUUUGAGUUCCGUCUUAUGGCUUAUGUCUCUGUCGUCUUUAGUUGCUCUGUCUCCCCUAUCACCUGCAUCCCCUUGUCUAGUUCGCGUCUAUGUGUAUCUUAAGUUCCUAUAUCCCCGUGUUCAGUCAGUGUUUGUGUCUGCCCUGUUCCCACGUCUCUGUUCCCUUUGUAGUGCCUGCAUGUGAGUCUGUGUCUUUGUUCAGUCUGUGUUAUGUGUUUCCUGUUUUACUUUGAAGGUCUCUGUCUUUUCUCAGUGUGUUCAGUUUAUGCUUCUUUGGUCUCGUCAGUUCUGAUUUGCCCCAGCUGUGUUUCCCUCCUGUUACCCAUUCCCUGAUUGCGCCCUCUGUGUAUUUAAGCCCUGUGUUUCUCUGUGUCCGUGUCGCGAUCUACCGUUUUCCUAGCUGUGUGUUCUGUCAUUCCUCCAGUUUAAGUUUGUUUUGAGUUUUUUUUUUUUCAGUUAUAUUUUUGAGUACCAAAGUAAAGCCUUUUUGAGUUCACCUCUGUCUCCGGAGUCUGCACCUUGGGUCCUAUUCCUGCCUGCACACAGCCACACCUAACAAUUUGUUGUCUCCCUCACUUUGCUGAAGAGCGCGAGCAUGUUGGAGGAGAAUUCUCAUUUGGCCUGCAUUCAAUCAUCUCCUAUUGUAAGACCCAAUGAAAGCUCCACUGAUGCUAAAACAUGAAGCUAUGGCUCUGUUUUGUGGUGCAAGCAGCAAAGCAGAUCAAAUUCUCAGGCAAAGAAGAAAUGCAGAGUUUGUCUCCCUGCAAACCCUUAUGUCCCAGAAUUAAGUUUGUUUAAACAUAGUGAUGUUAAAAUGUCACGUGCGACGGCUUAUUAUCGCUUGUGUCCUGCUUUAAACCUUCUCUUCAUCAUUCUGCUCUUUAAAUCUAGUCUCUUCAUUUCUUCAUCUUUAUUCCCAAUUUUCAUUUUCUUGAUUAUGUCUCCAUUCAGCUCCUCCCCCCCAUCACCUUCUCUGGCAGGCGUUAGUCUAAAUGAGGGUGAUUUAUUAUCGCGUUUCUCCUUUCCUACUGAAGCACCAUUACUGCAGACGCCUCGCCAGAAACACAAAGGCUCACUAGGAUUUUACAAUUCCCAGCGCACAUACUAAUUCAUAUACAGAAUACAGAAUGAGAUCAUGUAAAGAAGUUCCUACACAGAGCUUCAAAAUACGCCGUUUGCACACAAUGAUGUGCAAGUAUGCAUGCUGGCUGACACACUCUUAU